GGCGGACGGGUGAGUAACACGUGGGAACGUGCCUUUAGGUUCGGAAUAACUCAGGGAAACUUGUGCUAAUACCGAAUGUGCCCUUCGGGGGAAAGAUUUAUCGCCUUUAGAGCGGCCCGCGUCUGAUUAGCUAGUUGGUGAGGUAAAGGCUCACCAAGGCGACGAUCAGUAGCUGGUCUGAGAGGAUGAUCAGCCACAUUGGGACUGAGACACGGCCCAAACUCCUACGGGAGGCAGCAGUGGGGAAUCUUGCGCAAUGGGCGAAAGCCUGACGCAGCCAUGCCGCGUGAAUGAUGAAGGUCUUAGGAUUGUAAAAUUCUUUCACCGGGGACGAUAAUGACGGUACCCGGAGAAGAAGCCCCGGCUAACUUCGUGCCAGCAGCCGCGGUAAUACGAAGGGGGCUAGCGUUGCUCGGAAUUACUGGGCGUAAAGGGAGCGUAGGCGGACAUUUAAGUCAGGGGUGAAAUCCCGGGGCUCAACCUCGGAAUUGCCUUUGAUACUGGGUGUCUUGAGUGUGAGAGAGGUAUGUGGAACUCCGAGUGUAGAGGUGAAAUUCGUAGAUAUUCGGAAGAACACCAGUGGCGAAGGCGACAUACUGGCUCAUUACUGACGCUGAGGCUCGAAAGCGUGGGGAGCAAACAGGAUUAGAUACCCUGGG
rnacentral:rRNA from 1 species